AUUUAUUUUCACUCGUGUCUAUAACCUAUAUUUUGGAUGUUUUUGAUACAAAAUUGAAAUUUUUCAAGAAUUAUUGGAAAAUAUAAAUUAAAUCAUAAUUAAACGACAAUAUGUGGAUAUUAUCGAAUUCUGUCUAAAAUAAUAAAGGAAUAUUCAAGAUAGUUUCAUUGUAAAGAAUUGACGAAUGCAAAAGAUACAUAUAUAUACAAAUCUACAAGUUUCAUAGAAAUCUUACAGUGAAAUAUCCAAUAUAGAAAUUAAACACAAUGAGAUUUCGUUUCUUGGGUGAUGGAGACUGUCCUGAUUGGCUGCUGGCUGAAAUAAAUACAUUAUCACGAAUGACAUCAAUUAAAAUGAAGUUACUCGGUCAGGUUGUCGUCAAAUCAUUAACGGAAGGAGAGUUUGAUGAGGAAAAAGUAAAGAAAUUAACACAAGAUGCUAAACUUGAAUUGGAUGAUUCAAAAGCAAUUGUAGCGGCAUUGGAAUUAAUUUUAACAUCUUCGGCUCGUUAUGGAGUUUCUCCAGCAGAUUUAAGCAGUGAAUUACAACAACUUGGACUUCCUCGUGAACAUAGUGCUGCAAUUGCAAGGAUUCACACUGAUAAUUGUCCUCAAGUUACUGCUAUUCUUACAUCUCAAUCGCUUAGACUAAAUCGUCUGACAAGUUUUGAAGUUGUUCCCGGUGAUGAUUCAUCUCCAUUUAAUAAAAUUUCACUCAAAUUGAAAAAUAUUAAUGGACAGGAAGACGAAACAACUAUAAAUAUUUUAAGAAAUGAAAUUCCAGUUUUAUUAGCGGAUUUAAAGAAAGCAAGAGCUAAAAUGGAUGAAUACUGAAGUGGAUUUUUGAUUUUUUCAACUGAUUAGAAAAUUUUUUAUCAAAAGUUAUAUUCACAAAAACAAAAGCAGAGAAUUGGAGAUUUUUUUUUCUUCUCAAACUUUCAAGAGAUAUUUUAUUGUAGCUCUCUCGCCCUCUUUCUAAAGGUCGUCAUUGAUGAGAUCGAACAAUAAUGAUUAGUUUCGUCUGUGUCGGAACGCGUGUCCGGAAUAGAGUGUGCGGGCUCUCUCUCUCUCUCACCCCAGGCAGGUUGCAAUCAACCUCUCUGGAAAGUGAACAAAGUACAAACAAAAUUAGCGGUUGACACUGAGAAAGAAAAAUGGUCGAAUGCUUUUUGCCUUGUAACCGUUUCUUCACGAGUAUAUAUAUAGAUAAGGAAAAUGAGAACCGGAUGAAGACAAAAGGAGUGGAAAAAGUUUUUAAAUAUAUAAAUAUUAAAAAAAAAAUUAUUGUAAAAGUUUUUGGAAUUAAAAAAUGCUUUCAACACCA